UGCGUCAUUUGUAGGAAAAAUAGUAUAUGAAGUGUAUGAAAUGUAUGUUCAUUUUUGCCGUUGAGCAACACUUCACGUGUGACACCAAUGUGGUGUCGCCAGACGUCAUAGUGUUAAUACCUAGCUGGUCCCAAGCCCAGACAAAAGAGGAGGGUUCGAGGGUGAGGCUAGCAACCUACCCUCGGUAAAAACAAUAAAGCGCUCCCAAAAAUAGCAAUAAAAGCUAUAACAAGACGAAGUCCUAUUAAAAAGAAGAAGAAGAAAAAGAAGAAGAAGAAAAAGAAGAAGAAGAAUAAUACUGUCAUGGCGAAUCCAACGAUGUGGAACAUUAAGGUAUUUGAAGGUCAAAAAAGGUCAAGUCUGGCGAACCAACCAGCCACGACACAGCUCCUCCGCGUCAUUGUUGCAUCAUCCUUUAGGUGUCCGGCAAAGGACAGAACAGUCGGACAUAAUCAGAGGGAAUCGACGCGCAAACCCUCAUGAUUCUUUCUUUCAUAUCCUCUGUAGUGGUAGGUUCUUUGAAAUAAACUUUAUUUUAUAGGUAUUCUCAUAGAUAAAAAUCUAAAAUUGAUUGGUGGACAAAUAUUUUCUACACUUACUAUACAUACGAAUAUAAUUUUUGCCAUGUAUUAAAGACAAAACCAAAUAUUUAUACUCAUUUAUUAGUUUUGAUAAAAUUUUAACGAUUCGAUACGGGAUCGUAACCAACACUAUGAAAAACCUUGAUAUAAUAUAUAUACUAAAAU